GGGCCGGUAGUUCAGUUGGGAGAACGCUACAAUGGCAUUGUAGAGGUCAGGGGUUCAACUCCCCUCCGGUCCACCA
rnacentral:tRNA from 1 species